GACGAACGCUGGCGGCGUGCUUAACACAUGCAAGUCGAACGGAAAGGCCCUGCUUUUGUGGGGUGCUCGAGUGGCGAACGUGUGAGUAACACGUGAGUAACCUGCCCUUGACUUUGGGAUAACUUCAGGAAACUGGGGCUAAUACCGGAUAGGAGCUCCUGCUGCAUGGUGGGGGUUGGAAAGUUUCGGCGGUUGGGGAUGGACUCGCGGCUUAUCAGCUUGUUGGUGGGGUAGUGGCUUACCAAGGCUUUGACGGGUAGCCGGCCUGAGAGGGUGACCGGACAGAUUGGGACUGAGAUACGGCCCAGACUGCUAAGGGAGGCAGCAGUGGGGAAUAUUGCACAAUGGGCGGAAGCCUGAUGCAGCAACGCCGCGUGCGGGAUGAAGGCCUUCGGGUUGUAAACCGCUGUCGCCUGUGACGAAGCGUGAGUGACGGUAAUGGGUAAAGAAGCACCGGCUAACUACGUG
rnacentral:rRNA from 1 species